AGUGAACGCUGGCGGUAGGCCUAACACAUGCAAGUCGAACGGCAGCACAGUAAGAGCUUGCUCUUACGGGUGGCGAGUGGCGGACGGGUGAGGAAUACAUCGGAAUCUACUUUUUCGUGGGGGAUAACGUAGGAAAACUUACGCUAAUACCGCAUACGACCUACGGGUGAAAGCAGGGGAUCUUCGGACCUUGCGCGAUUGAAUGAGCCGAUGUCGGAUUAGCUAGUUGGCGGGGUAAAGGCCCACCAAGGCGACGAUCCGUAGCUGGUCUGAGAGGAUGAUCAGCCACACUGGAACUGAGACACGGUCCAGACUCCUACGGGAGGCAGCAGUGGGGAAUAUUGGACAAUGGGCGCAAGCCUGAUCCAGCUAUACCGCGUGGGUGAAGAAGGCCUUCGGGUUGUAAAGCCCUUUUGUUGGGAAAGAAAAGCAGCAGGUUAAUACCCCGCUGUUCUGACGGUACCCAAAGAAUAAGCACCGGCUAACUUCGUG
rnacentral:rRNA from 1 species